rnacentral:misc_RNA from 1 species
GAAAUGCGAUAAGUAAUGUGAAUUGCAGAAUUCAGUGAAUCAUCGAAUCUUUGAACGCACAUUGCGCCCCCUGGUAUUCCGGGGGGCAUGCCUGUUCGAGUGUCAUUUCACCACUCAAGCCUCGCUUGGUAUUGGGCGACGCGGUCCGCCGCGCGCCUCAAAUCGACCGGCUGGGUCUUUCGUCCCCUCAGCGUUGUGGAAACUAUUCGCUCAAGGGUGCCGCGGGAGGCCACGCCGUAAAACAACCCCAUUUCUAAGGUUGACCUCGGAUCAGGUAGGGAUACCCGCUGAACUUAAGC